rnacentral:lncRNA from 1 species
UUUGUUUCUAAAUGCCUCAGGAACCAUACUACGUCGAGAAAGUGCCGAAAUAUUCAUUUUUUUAUUUUCCUUAUGUGCGUGUUCGGACCCUCACUAUUUAGGAUCAGUUUUUUCGGUGAUUAUUCGUUCGUGGCAAGUCCGAUUAAAAUUUUUUUAUUUCUAUGUCCAUCUGGAUGUACAUGCGCAUGUGCAUGCAAAAUUUGACGAGAAUUGGUUGAGUGGUGCAAAAGAAAAACGCGGACAAAGAAGUUGCAAAGUCAAGUAUAAGAGCUUCGCUCGCUCAAUGAAGUUACUAACUAAUUAAUUAAUUAAAUAUAGGAAAACAAUUCCUAUAAUCCUGUGUUGAUCAUCAAGGCCGUCGGUUAAGAAGAAUUCUGUGAUCAAAGCCGUCGGUCAAGAAAAGUUCUAUUUCCAAUUCUGAAUAAAUAAUCAAUACUGAAAGCAUCCAUCGUUUUAUCGCCAUGAAUUUUAUUUUAAAAAAGGCGCGAAAAUAUACCUCUUGACAGGACAUUUGAGAGAAAGUAAGUACCAUCAGUUUUCUUCUGAGCGCGCGCAAAUAUAUAUAAUUUCAAAAUACACGUAAGAAUGAAACUUUCGAAAUACUUUCAAUUUUCUAAUAAUAAGCUACAAUCUUUACACUAAGUAAUUAUCUUUCAUACCAUUUCCUCUAUAAUAAUCAGUUUACGUGAAUUCUUUCUACGAAAACCUCCCCUUGAAGAAAAACCAUAAACUGAACUGGAUAAUAUUUCACAACAGGUCAGUCAAAAGAAGAACACCACAGCCAGUAACACAAACGUUUCAUCGCCAACGGGAGCGGAACAGUUUUGUCCUGUAUGUAUGGAGAAGCUUCCCUCAGACACCAGAGACAUAUAUCGCUCGGCAAAAAGCGUUGUUAAACUGUCGAUCGGGCCAUUUUGCGAAGCAAAAACGUUGGAUCUGCGUCCCUAGAACGUCUUCAUGCCACGAUCGAAUUCACUUUUAAGCCCGAAUUGUUCCUGUUCACCGUUAGAUACUCGUACGUACUCGAUUAAUGCACAUCGAUAAUUAAACCAUCAUAUCGAUACAUAUAUGACACGUACGUUUUACAAUAUCUCGUAUAAAAAAAUAUCUUCUUGCAGCCGGAAGUCGAGCGUAAACAAGGACAACGACUUUCGCGCAUCCGGGGAUCACAAACAGACACUGAACGGCUCCUAUUAUAUAUACGGUUUGCCCCGAUGUGCCCUGUAAAGUGGCAGAGGCACGAUCUACCUGUUCGAACGAAGAAAAGAUUCCAUGCGCAUAAGCAUCAGGGUUUCCUGCUUCAUGGUUCAACUGAUCUUGUAACAUUUAACCCUUUCGAUAUGGACGUUAUACUUAGUCGAUUAGCUGAACGAUGAUUACAUUCAAAUAACUUUUGGUUUUAUUACAUUAUGCUUCAUACUUUAGCUGUUAUGGAUGACUAUAGUCGCUUGACUACAGGUUAUAUCUGCACUGGUUCAUCAUGAAAUGAUCUAAGAGCAACUACAGUCGUCCAACGUGAAACGUCUACAUUUCAGAAUAGGAAGUAUAAAAAAAAUUGUGACAAUUAGAAAAAAAAUUCUUGUUGAAAUUUUGUGAACAGAACUAUACUAUUUGUUAUAGGUUAGCUCAAGCGCCCGGCGAAGAACUCUCGGGUACAUGUGUGUUAAGGCGUGAAGCGAUGAGACGAAAAAUUUAAACUUAGAAAUUUGGAAAUUAAGAAACUUUGAAUCUCCAAAUUUCUAAAUUGAGAAAUAAUAGAAAGCAUGAAGACUAACCAUACCAAAAGGAUUAAACUUCACAAAAUCACAAGUAGGCAAGCGAUGAACGAGCUAUAUUCUAUUGCGUUUUUGUCUAAAACGAUCGAAAUAUUGUUGUAAAUAAAAUACUUCAAAAUUCUAUACUGAUAGAUUUAGCUGUUGCUAUACUAUGAGAAGGCAACGUAACAAUACUUUUCGAUGUAUGUACACUCUGAAUUAACAUUCAUUGCUUGCCGAUUUAAUCACAGCUUAACUCGAAACAUUUGACGCGAAACACAUGUAGUGUUUAUAUCAAUGUUGCGAUAAGCGAAUGUGAUGAAAAGUCAGAACUGCGAUGGAAAAUUGAUCUUGUAUUUUGUAUGUGAGAAUAUGUAUAUGCGUGUAGGUGUCGGAAUUUCGAUUACAAGGAUAUCACGCUAUUUUUCUAACUUCACGCGAGGUAUAUACAUAAUUCCACUGUUUCUUUAUCUACAAUAAUUUAUGUUAAUAUUGUGAGUAAUGAUAAAAUAAGCAAUCGCAUGUGCAGCACACGUGUGAACAUAAUUUGUCGUCAUUGUCACUAUAGUUGUUAAGGAUUAUUUUUCCUUUUGUAAUGAACUGACUGAUUUAUGAAUAAAACCUUUGACGUAUUAAAUUGGUUAA